rnacentral:rRNA from 1 species
GACGAACGCUGGCGGCGUGCCUAACACAUGCAAGUCGAACGAGGUCCAUCCAGUGGCAACACUGGUGAAGACCUAGUGGCGAACGGGUGAGUAACACGUGAGGAACCUGCCCCGAAGACCGGGAUAACCCUCCGAAAGGAGAGCUAAUACCGGAUACCCCCACCGAACCGCAUGGUUCGGUGAGGAAAAGGAUUCCGCUUCGGGAGGGCCUCGCGGCCUAUCAGCUUGUUGGUGGGGUAACGGCCUACCAAGGCAUCGACGGGUAGCUGGUCUGAGAGGACGAUCAGCCACACUGGGACUGAGACACGGCCCAGACUCCUACGGGAGGCAGCAGUGGGGAAUCUUGCGCAAUGGGCGAAAGCCUGACGCAGCAACGCCGCGUGGGGGAUGAAGGCUCUCGGGUUGUAAACCCCUUUCAGUGGGGACGAAUCAAGACGGUACCCACAGAAGAAGCCCCGGCUAACUACGUGCCAGCCGCCGCAGUAACAC